UUGUCAGAAGCAGGAUGUGGGGAAACAGUUAAAGUGGCUGAUGUUGCAGGAAAAGCUGAGAAAGAGACAUGGGAGGAAAUAAUAGUUCAAUAGGGUUCAAAAGUCUAUCAGCAAUGUAAUGGGAAAUGAUUCACAAAUGCAGUAUUUACACACAAGUACAGAAUGUUCCAGUGACUUCAGAAGGUAAAAGGGUUAUUUAAAAACAAACAACGACCUUGACAAAUUCUAACACAGCAUAAAAACUUUUUAAAAUUCUAUCAUUUCUAUUGUCAGAAUUCUUUCAGUUGCAAGUGGUUAUCUGGUAUAAGAAAAUAACUUUGUGGGCUCAUAAAAAUGACAAGGGUAGAGGUGUGUCUCAGGGACAAAUAAACUGCCAUCAGGUGGGUUCAUCGAUAUAUUUACUCUUUUAUCUAUACAUCCAUACAUCCAUCUCUCUGACUCCCGAUCUCUCUCUUUUGAUCAUCUUUUAUUGCAGGCAAGUUUUCUCCAUUGACAGAGAAAAGAAGUGCAAAGCCACCAACAACUCCAGGGACAACCACCUUUGGAAAUGUGGGCUUUGAUCACAUGAAGUACAGAACCAAGAUAAGCAACAAUAAAUCUGUGGGGUCACGUCUGUGCA
rnacentral:lncRNA from 1 species